rnacentral:rRNA from 1 species
UGGGGAAUCUUGCACAAUGGGGGAAACCCUGAUGCAGCGACGCCGCGUGAACGAUGAAGCCCUUCGGGGUGUAAAGUUCUUUCGACAGGAACGAUAAUGACGGUACCUGGAGAAGAAGCUGCGGCUAACUACGUGCCAGCAGCCGCGGUAAUACGUAGGCAGCGAGCGUUGUUCGGAGUUACUGGGCGUAAAGAGUGCGUAGGCGGCGAGCCAAGUUUGGUGUGAAAUCUCCCGGCUUAACCGGGAGGGUGCGCCGAAAACUGGUUGGCUGGAGUAUGGGAGAGGAAAGCGGAAUUCCUGGUGUAGCGGUGAAAUGCGUAGAUAUCAGGAGGAACACCUGCGGUGUAGACAGCUUUCUGGACCAAAACUGACGCUGAGGCACGAAAGCGUGGGAGCAAACA